UACGUAGGUGGCAAGCGUUAUCCGGAUUUAUUGGGCGUAAAGGGAACGCAGGCGGUCUUUUAAGUCUGAUGUGAAAGCCUUCGGCUUAACCGGAGUAGUGCAUUGGAAACUGGGAGACUUGAGUGCAGAAGAGGAGAGUGGAACUCCAUGUGUAGCGGUGAAAUGCGUAGAUAUAUGGAAGAACACCAGUGGCGAAAGCGGCUCUCUGGUCUGUAACUGACGCUGAGGUACGAAAGCGUGGGUAGCAAACAGG
rnacentral:rRNA from 1 species